CCAAUUAUAGCGAGCCUGGCCUUUGGUCAUGGUCUCGCGAAAAUCUGUAUUUAAAACCCCACUCAUAUAAAAAUGAAUCACUAUAUAUGAAUAAUAAACAAAGA
rnacentral:misc_RNA from 1 species